rnacentral:rRNA from 1 species
GACGGAGGAUGCAAGCGUUAUCCGGAAUGAUUGGGCGUAAAGCGUCCGCAGGUGGCAGUUCAAGUCUGCUGUCAAAGACCGGGGCUUAACUUCGGAAAGGCAGUGGAAACUGAACAGCUAGAGUAUGGUAGGGGCAGAGGGAAUUCCUGGUGUAGCGGUGAAAUGCGUAGAGAUCAGGAAGAACAUCGGUGGCGAAGGCGGGUCUCUGGGCCGUAACUGACGCUGAGGAGCGAAAGCGUGGGGAGCGAACAGG